UCCAACGAACGAAAACACGGCGCACCAAACGUCCAAACCUUAAAACUGACGGAAAGAGAAGACCCACCACAUCCCGUUCACUCUCUCCUCCUCCCCUCCGCUCCCUCCCAGUCCCAGAUCCCGAUUCGCCGCCGCCUCCGGCAGAUCCAGCCAGCAGCUCCCGCCGCAGAACCGCCGCGGGCGCCAUGGAGAAGCCAUGCUCUCUCCUGGUCCACUUCGACAAGGGCUCGGCAUCGAUGGCGAACGAGAUCAAGGCGGAUCUGGAGGGCAGCGAUGGCCCCGCCAAGGCUGACGCCAUGCGCCGCGCCAUCUCGCUCCUCCUCAACGGAGAGACCCUCCCUCAGCUCUUCAUAACCAUCGUCCGCUACGUGCUCCCCUCCGAGGACCACACCGUGCAGAAGCUUCUCCUCCUCUACCUCGAGAUCAUAGACCGCCGGGAUCCGGCCGGCCGCGCCCUGCCGGAGAUGAUCCUCAUCUGCCAGAACCUCCGCAACAACCUCCAGAGCCCCAACGAGUACAUCCGCGGCGUCACUCUGCGGUUCCUCUGCAGGCUCUCCGAGCCCGAGGUGCUCGAGCCGCUCGUGCCGUCCGUGCUUGCGAACCUGGAGCACAGGCACCAAUUCAUCCGGAGACACGCUGUCUCCGCGGUUUCCGCGAUCUACCGCCUCCCGCAUGGUGACCAGCUCAUCCCCGACGCGCCGGAGCUCGUCGAGCGGUUCCUCGCAUCUGAGCAGGACGCGUCCGCGCGGAGGAACGCAUUCCUUAUGCUCUGUGCCUGCGCACAGGACCGCGCCGUCGCCUACCUGCUCUCCAACGCCGAUCGAGUCGCUGAGUGGCCCGAUCUGCUGCAGAUGGCCGUUGUGGAUCUUAUCCGCAAGGUCUGCCGAUCACAAAACCGUGCCAACAAGGGAAGGUAUAUCACCAUCAUUACGUCGCUGCUCUCCGCAACCAGCACUGCGGUUGUUUAUGAAUGUGCUGGUGCCCUGGUGUCACUCUCUUCGGCACCCACGGCUGUGCGGGCCGCUGCCAACACCUACUGCCAGUUGCUCUCGUCGCAGAGUGACAACAAUGUGAAGCUCAUUCUUCUGGAUCGCCUCAACGAGCUGCGAACCCUGCACCGGGAUGUCAUGGUGGGUGUGGUGAUGGACGUGCUUCGUGCACUGGCCAGCCCCAAUUUAGAUGUCAAGAGAAAGGUUCUCGAUUUAGUUCUCGAUUUGCUCACCCCGCGUAAUGUUGAGGAGGUGGUGCUUUAUCUCAAGAAGGAGGUGGUCAAGACGCAGGCUGGAGACCUCGAGAAGGGUGGCGAGUACCGCCAGAUGCUGGUGCAGGCCAUCCAUGCUUGCGCUGUUGAGUACCCAGAGGUGGCUGGAUCUGUAGUGCACCUCCUCAUGGACUUUCUUGGUGAUACCAAUGUUGCUGCAGCUGUUGAUGUUGUGCUGUUUGUACGUGAGAUCAUUGAGACCAAUCCGAAGCUGCGUGUUUCCAUGAUCCAGAGGCUUAUUGAUACAUUCUAUCAGAUUCGGGCAUCCCGUGUCUGCUCAUGUGCUCUCUGGAUCCUUGGGGAGUACUCCCUCUCUCUAUCAGAGGUUGAAAGCACCAUUGCUACCAUUAAACAAUGUCUUGGUGAUCUGCCAUUCUACACUGUCUCUGAUGAAGGGGAGGUAACUGAUUCCACCAAUUCAGCCCAGGCGGUGGUGAACACUGUCACUGUAUCUUCCAGGAGGCCUGUUGUUCUUGCGGAUGGCACUUAUGCCACACAGAGCGCCGCUACCGAGACCAUUUCAGCCCCAUCAGUUGCUCAUGGGUCAUUAGCAUCUACCCUGAACCUCAGAUCACUCAUUUUGUCAGGUGAUUUCUUCCUGGCUGCUGUUGUUGCAUGUACCCUGACCAAGCUUGUGUUGAGGCUGGAAGAAGUGCAGCCAUCCAAGGUUGAAUCAAACAAAGCUUGCACUGGAGCAUUGCUGAUCAUGACAUCGAUUCUGCAGCUGGGCCAGUCUUCUUACCUUCCCCACCCGAUUGAUAAUGAUUCAUAUGACAGAAUUGUGCUGUGUUUGAGAUUGCUUUGCAAUACUGGUGAUGAUGUCAGGAAGAUUUGGUUGCAUUCAUGCAGACAGAGCUUUGCGAAAAUGCUUGCUGAGAAGCAGUUCAGGGAGACAGAGGAGAUGAAGGCAAAGGCACAGAUCUCUCAUGCCCAGCCAGAUGAUCUUAUUGAUUUUUACCACCUGAAGAGCAGGAAGGGCAUGAGCCAGCUUGAGUUGGAAGAUGAGGUGCACGAUGAUUUGAAGGCUGCAACUGGUGGGUUUACUAAGGAUGCAGAUGAUGCAAACAAGCUCAACCGCAUUCUUCAGUUGACUGGGUUCAGCGAUCCUGUGUAUGCUGAAGCAUUUGUAACAGUUCACCAUUAUGACAUUGUACUUGAUGUUACUGUCAUUAACCGCACAAAGGAGACACUUCAGAACUUGUGCUUGGAAUUGGCUACAAUGGGAGACCUCAAACUUGUUGAUCGCCCUCAGAACUACACCUUGGCUCCUGAGUCUAGCAAACAGAUCCGUGCUAAUAUCAAGGUUUCAUCAACAGAGACGGGGGUUAUAUUUGGCAACAUAGUUUACGAGACUUCAAAUGUGAUGGAACGAUCAGUGGUUGUCCUAAAUGAUAUUCACAUCGACAUCAUGGAUUACAUCUCACCUGCUACGUGUGCAGAUGUUACUUUCCGGAACAUGUGGGCAGAAUUUGAAUGGGAAAAUAAGGUGGCUGUGAAUACUGUGAUUCAGGAUGAGAAGGAAUUCUUGAAUCACAUUAUCAAGUCAACGAACAUGAAAUGUCUGACACCACCGUCUGCACUGGAUGGGGAAUGUGGUUUCCUUGCUGCUAACCUUUAUGCAAAGAGUGUGUUUGGCGAGGACGCUUUGGUGAACAUCAGCAUUGAGAAGCAACAUGACGGCAAGCUCAGUGGCUACAUUCGAAUAAGGAGCAAGACCCAGGGAAUUGCACUCAGCUUAGGGGACAAGAUCACUCUCAAGCAGAAAGGUGGCAGUUAACUGUGACAAGUAAUCGCAGUUGUAUCAUCAUUUUUCGCAUUUAGGAAAUCCACGUGCCAGAGAGAGACCAGUGCCGUGGCAUUGAACUGAGUAUAAAUGCUUUUUUGUACAAAAGGAUCGAUCAAGGAGAGAGAUAAGAGGACAGUUAUGAGGAAGUCACGAAGUUGUCGGUCGAAGAUAUAUGUUGCUGUAGUAACGAAGCUGUUCCAAACUUCCUUGAAAUAGUUGUGAAGUUUAUGUUGAUUUCUCGACAGUUGUCUGGACUUGGAAACAGAAGCUUGGAGGCGGUGUUGUCACGUUAUUUUUGUAGAGAUGAAUUGGAGCUCAUUUUCUGUUGCAUAUAGAUUUGCCAAUUGUGUUAGGGUACUUUUAUGGUGUUUAUUUAAGAAAUGAGGUAGUCCAUUAUCUUUUUACUCA